GUACGGGAGGCAGCAGUGAGGAAUAUUGGUCAAUGGGCGCAAGCCUGAACCAGCCAUCCCGCGUGCAGGAAGAAGGCGCUAUGCGUUGUAAACUGCUUUUGCAGGGGAAGAAUGUUGGCUACGUGUAGUCAAUUGCCGGUACCUUGUGAAUAAGCAUCGGCUAACUCCGUGCCAGCAGCCGCGGUAAUACGGAGGAUGCGAGCGUUAUCCGGAUUUAUUGGGUUUAAAGGGUGCGUAGGCGGAUUGAUAAGUCAGUGGUGAAAUACUGCAGCUUAACUGUAGAAUUGCCGUUGAUACUGUCAGUCUUGAGUAUGGUUAAGGUAGGCGGAAUGUGUAAUGUAGCGGUGAAAUGCUUAGAUAUUACACAGAACACCGAUUGCGAAGGCAGCUUACUGAGCCAAAACUGACGCUGAGGCACGAAAGCGUGGGGAGCGAACAGGAUUAGAUACCCGUGUAA
rnacentral:rRNA from 1 species